UACGGAGGGUGCGAGCGUUGUCCGGAAUCACUGGGCGUAAAGGGCGCGUAGGUGGCGCGGAAAGUCAACGGUGAAAGUUCGGGGCUCAACCCUGAAUCGGCCGUCGAUACUCCCGGGCUCGAGCACUGUAGAGGCAGAUGGAAUUCCGGGUGUAGCGGUGGAAUGCGUAGAGAUCCGGAAGAACACCGGUGGCGAAGGCGGUCUGCUGGGCAGUUGCUGACACUGAGGCGCGACAGCGUGGGGAGCAAACAGG
rnacentral:rRNA from 1 species